rnacentral:rRNA from 1 species
CUCCGGACUGGCCCAGAGAGGUGGGCAACUACCACUCAGGGCCGGAAAGUUGUCCAAACUCGGUCAUUUAGAGGAAGUAAAAGUCGUAACAAGGUCUCCGUUGGUGAACCAGCGGAGGGAUCAUUACAGAGUUACUACUCCAAACCCAUUGUGAACCUUACCUAUGUUCUGUUGCCUCGGCGGCGUCGGUCAGCGCCCCCUCUGAGAAAGAGGACGAUGCCCCUCCCGCCGGCAGCACCAAACUCUUUGAAUUUUACAGCGGAUUACAGUUCUGAUUUGAAAACAAAAAAACAAGUUAAAACUUUCAACAACGGAUCUCUUGGUUCUGGCAUCGAUGAAGAACGCAGCGAAAUGCGAUAAGUAAUGUGAAUUGCAGAAUUCAGUGAAUCAUCGAAUCUUUGAACGCACAUUGCGCCCGGCAGUAAUCUGCCGGGCAUGCCUGUCCGAGCGUCAUUUCAACCCUCGAACCUCCGUUUCCUCAGGGAAGCCCAGGGUCGGUGUUGGGGCGCUACGGCGAGUCCUCGCGACCCCCGUAGGCCCUGAAAUACAGUGGCGGUCCCGCCGCGGUUGCCUUCUGCGUAGUAAGUCUCUUUUGCAAGCUCGCAUUGGGUCCCGGCGGAGGCCUGCCGUCAAACCACCUAACAACUCCAGAUGGUUUGACCUCGGAUCAGGUAGGGUUACCCGCUGAACUUAAGCAUAUC